rnacentral:rRNA from 1 species
UGCAGUCGGACGACAGGCGAGGAAUCCGCAAGGAGGAAUCGUGCUGAGUGGCGAACGGGUGAGUAAGACAUGGGGACGUACCCUCAAGAGGGGGAUAGCAUUCCGAAAGGGAUGGUAAUACCCCGUAAGCUCGAGAGAGGGAAGGUGCAACAGCACCGCUUGAGGAGCGACUCAUGGCCCAUCAGUUAGUUGGUGAGGUAAAGGCCCACCAAGGCUAUGACGGGUAGCUGGUCUGAGAGGAUGGUCAGCCACACUGGGACUGAGACACGGCCCAGACUCCUACGGGAGGCAGCAGUGGGGAAUUUUUCCCAAUGGGCGAAAGCCUGAGGGAGCGACGCCGCGUGGAGGAAGGAGUCUUUCGAGAUGUAAACUCCUGUUGUAAGGGAGCAAGGGUAUAUGUAGUGGAAAGGCAUAUACUCGGAUAGUACCUUACGAGGAAGCCCCGGCUAACUACGUGCCAGCAGCCGCGGUAAUACGUAGGGGGCGAGCGUUGUCCGGAGUUACUGGGCGUAAAGGGUGCGUAGGUGGCCGAUAAAGUCAAUUGUGAAAUUCCACGGCUCAACUGUGGGAGUGCGGUUGAAACUAAUCGGCUUGAGGUCAGGUCAGGAAGAUGGAAUUGUCAGUGUAGGGGUGAAAUCCGUAGAUAUUGGCAAGAACGCCGGUGGUGAAGACGGUCUUCUGGGCUGAUACUGACACUGAGGCACGAAAGCUAGGGGAGCGAACGGGAUUAGAUACCCCGGUAGUCCUAGCCGUAAACGAUGUUCACUGAGUAUGGGAGGCGUUAGCCAUCCGUGCUGAAGCAAACGCGUUAAGUGAACCGCC